rnacentral:rRNA from 1 species
GACGAACGCUGGCGGCGUGCCUAACACAUGCAAGUCGAACGGGGUAUUGGGAGCUUGCUCCUGAUACUUAGCGGCGAACGGGUGAGUAACGCGUGAGGAACCUGCCUUUCAGUGGGGGACGACAGUUGGAAACGACUGCUAAUACCGCAUAACAUAUUCGGACCGCAUGAUCUGAAUAUCAAAGCUUUAUGUGCUGAAAGAUGGCCUCGCGUCUGAUUAGCUAGUGGGUGGGGUAACGGCCCACCAAGGCGACGAUCAGUAGCCGGUCUGAGAGGAUGAACGGCCACAUUGGGACUGAGAUACGGCCCAGACUCCUACGGGAGGCAGCAGUGGGGAAUAUUGGGCAAUGGGGGAAACCCUGACCCAGCAACGCCGCGUGAAGGAAGAAGGCCUUCGGGUUGUAAACUUCUUUUACCAGGGACGAAGGACGUGACGGUACCUGGAGAAAAAGCAACGGCUAACUACGUGCCAGCAGCCGCGGUAAGAC